rnacentral:rRNA from 1 species
AGCGCGCGCAGGCGGUCCUUUAAGUCUGAUGUGAAAGCCCACGGCUCAACCGUGGAGGGUCAUUGGAAACUGGGGGACUUGAGUGCAGAAGAGGAAAGCGGAAUUCCACGUGUAGCGGUGAAAUGCGUAGAGAUGUGGAGGAACACCAGUGGCGAAGGCGGCUUUCUGGUCUGUAACUGACGCUGAGGCGCGAAAGCGUGGGGAGCGAACAGGAUUAGAUACCCUGGUAGUCCACGCCGUAAACGAUGAGUGCUAAGUGUUAGAGGGUUUCCGCCCUUUAGUGCUGCAGCUAACGCAUUAAGCACUCCGCCUGGGGAGUACGGCCGCAAGGCUGAAACUCAAAGGAAUUGACGGGGGCCCGCACAAGCGGUGGAGCAUGUGGUUUAAUUCGAAGCAACGCGAAGAACCUUACCAGGUCUUGACAUCCUCUGCCACUCCUAGAGAUAGGACGUUCCCCUUCGGGGGACAGAGUGACAGGUGGUGCAUGGUUGUCGUCAGCUCGUGUCGUGAGAUGUUGGGUUAAGUCCCGCAACGAGCGCAACCCUUGAUCUUAGUUGCCAGCAUUCAGUUGGGCACUCUAAGGUGACUGCCGGUGACAAACCGGAGGAAGGUGGGGAU